AAGAGCUAAUAGGGUCCAGGAUCCUGUUCCUUCAACCUUUUGCAUCUGGGAUCUCAUUCCUUUGGUCCUUUGGUUCCGGAAUCUCGUUCCAUCAGUUGGUCGCUUUUAUUGCAGGGUCUCUUUCCGUCAGUCACAUGAAUCCAAGGUCUCGCUCUUUAGGUUUCUUCAGUCUUGUUCCAUCGGUCGCUUUGGUCCAAGCUCCAGUUUCUUCGGUUGCUCGGUUCAAAAGUCUUUUGGUCGCUUGCAGCCGUCGCCUCGUUCUGUUAGUGGUUUUGGUCCAGGACCUGUUAGUCGUUUGGAAUCCAACUUUUCACACAGAAGUCUUAUUGUGUUCCCAUUUUAAUAACAGUAUGAAUGGUCAAGCAAAAAUUACAAAAAUAAAAAAAUUGAGAAUCAAGACCUGCAGUUUAAACAUAACUUGUCGUAAUCCCCUGCAUCAGAUUCAGAGGAAUCGUCCGCCGUCCUGCAGAACCGUUCAAUCGAGACAAUAAAACAUCAAAUAAUGUUAGUCUGAUACUAAAACACGAGAAGGAUCCUCAUUUUCAAGUUAAUUCAUAAAAUAUCUAACAGACUAGACGGCAGGAGCAGACUUAAGGAAAAACUUAUUUAUUUAAAUAUGACUAAGGCACUGGCUAAAUUGUUACAAAACAGUCAUUAUUUCAGCACUACAAUUGCAACAUCUGCAUUAAUUUCACUAAUUAAAGUGCAUUUCAAGUAUUUCUUCAAACUGAAUUACACAGAACCAGCCAUGGAUGAGUUCAGCCUCUUCAUUCCCUGUAUUGAAACCAUUUGCUCCAGUUUUGAAAGAAUCCCACAAACAUGACGAAUUACACCGCCAGGGGGCAGCAGACGACAGGACGCCUCUUUUACUGACGCAAACAGCGCCCCCUUUCGUUUUCUACCACUAUGUACUGGGGCCAUUGUUAAAAAAAAAAACAAAACUUGGACAUUUGAAUCUCAAAAAAUAACUCAAAUUUUGAGAUCUCAGAAAAAUUUAAACUUUAGAAACUCAAAUUUACAAAUUUCUCAAAAAAAUAGUUUCAAAAUGAGUUCUCUCACAAAUGUCCAAGUUUUUCUAAAAAAAUUCAGAGAUUAAUCUCAAAAUUUAAUAUUUUUUGGCAGAAAUUCCCUCUCACCCCCAUCCCAAUACCCCAAUAUGUCGUCAGUUUUCUACUAAGCAACCGACCGACUUCACUGAAGAUCUGAUGCAGCAGUGACGUGUUAAGCAAUCUGACAUUCAUUUAAUAAUAAUCCACAAGUCAAACGGACGGCCAUUAGUUUCAGAGAGCAGAUCCGGAUGUACGUUAUGCUACAUUCUGCUAAAAUAAAAACGUUACUCAUUAGUUCUGUAUUAGAAAUCCAAACAUGUGACA